AUGGGAACGCGAAGAACCUUACCUAGACUUGACAUCUCCUGAAUAGUGUAGAGAUACAUGAAGCCCUUCGGGGCGAGGAAGACAGGUGGUGCAUGGUUGUCGUCAGCUCGUGUCGUGAGAUGUUGGGUUAAGUCCCGCAACGAGCGCAACCCUUAUUACUAGUUGCUACCAUUAAGUUGAGCGCUCUAGUGAGACUGCCCGGGUUAACCGGGAGGAAGGCGGGAGUGACGUCAAAUCAUCAUGCCCCUUAUGUCUAGGGCAACACACGUGCUACAAUGGUGAGUACAGAUAGAUGCGAUACCGCAAGGUGGAGCCAAACUCUAAAACUCAUCCCAGUUCGGAUUGUAGGCUGCAACUCGCCUACAUGAAGUUGGAGUUGCUAGUAAUCGCGAAUCAGAAUGUCGCGGUGAAUACGUUCCCGGGUCUUGUACACACCG
rnacentral:rRNA from 1 species